rnacentral:rRNA from 1 species
AGUGAACGCUGGCGGUAGGCCUAACACAUGCAAGUCGAACGGCAGCACAGUAAGAGCUUGCUCUUACGGGUGGCGAGUGGCGGACGGGUGAGGAAUACAUCGGAAUCUACUUUUUCGUGGGGGAUAACGUAGGGAAACUUACGCUAAUACCGCAUACGACCUACGGGUGAAAGCAGGGGAUCUUCGGACCUUGCGCGAUUGAAUGAGCCGAUGUCGGAUUAGCUAGUUGGCGGGGUAAAGGCCCACCAGGGCGACGAUCCGUAGCUGGUCUGAGAGGAUGAUCAGCCACACUGGAACUGAGACACGGUCCAGACUCCUACGGGAGGCAGCAGUGGGGAAUAUUGGACAAUGGGCGCAAGCCUGAUCCAGCCAUACCGCGUGGGUGAAGAAGGCCUUCGGGUUGUAAAGCCCUUUUGUUGGGAAAGAAAAGCAGCAGGUUAAUACCCCGCUGUUCCGACGGUACCCAAAGAAUAAGCACCGGCUAACUUCGUG